rnacentral:rRNA from 2 species
AGCGUACACGGUGGAUGCCCUGGCAGUCAGAGGCGAUGAAGGACGUGCUAAUCUGCGAUAAGCGUCGGUGAGGUGAUAUGAACCGUUAUAACCGGCGAUUUCCGAAUGGGGAAACCCAGUGUGUUUCGACACACUAUCAUUAACUGAAUCCAUAGGUUAAUGAGGCGAACCGGGGGAACUGAAACAUCUAAGUACCCCGAGGAAAAGAAAUCAACCGAGAUUCCCCCAGUAGCGGCGAGCGAACGGGGAGGAGCCCAGAGCCUGAAUCAGUGUGUGUGUUAGUGGAAGCGUCUGGAAAGGCGUGCGAUACAGGGUGACAGCCCCGUACACAAAAAUGCACAUAUUGUGAGCUCGAUGAGUAGGGCGGGACACGUGGUAUCCUGUCUGAAUAUGGGGGGACCAUCCUCCAAGGCUAAAUACUCCUGACUGACCGAUAGUGAACCAGUACCGUGAGGGAAAGGCGAAAAGAACCCCGGCGAGGGGAGUGAAAAAGAACCUGAAACCGUGUACGUACAAGCAGUGGGAGCCUCUUAAUGGGGUGACUGCGUACCUUUUGUAUAAUGGGUCAGCGACUUAUAUUCUGUAGCAAGGUUAACCGAAUAGGGGAGCCGAAGGGAAACCGAGUCUUAACUGGGCGUUAAGUUGCAGGGUAUAGACCCGAAACCCGGUGAUCUAGCCAUGGGCAGGUUGAAGGUUGGGUAACACUAACUGGAGGACCGAACCGACUAAUGUUGAAAAAUUAGCGGAUGACUUGUGGCUGGGGGUGAAAGGCCAAUCAAACCGGGAGAUAGCUGGUUCUCCCCGAAAGCUAUUUAGGUAGCGCCUCGUGAAUUCAUCUCCGGGGGUAGAGCACUGUUUCGGCAAGGGGGUCAUCCCGACUUACCAACCCGAUGCAAACUGCGAAUACCGGAGAAUGUUAUCACGGGAGACACACGGCGGGUGCUAACGUCCGUCGUGAAGAGGGAAACAACCCAGACCGCCAGCUAAGGUCCCAAAGUCAUGGUUAAGUGGGAAACGAUGUGGGAAGGCCCAGACAGCCAGGAUGUUGGCUUAGAAGCAGCCAUCAUUUAAAGAAAGCGUAAUAGCUCACUGGUCGAGUCGGCCUGCGCGGAAGAUGUAACGGGGCUAAACCAUGCACCGAAGCUGCGGCAGCGACACUAUGUGUUGUUGGGUAGGGGAGCGUUCUGUAAGCCUGUGAAGGUGGCCUGUGAGGGUUGCUGGAGGUAUCAGAAGUGCGAAUGCUGACAUAAGUAACGAUAAAGCGGGUGAAAAGCCCGCUCGCCGGAAGACCAAGGGUUCCUGUCCAACGUUAAUCGGGGCAGGGUGAGUCGACCCCUAAGGCGAGGCCGAAAGGCGUAGUCGAUGGGAAACAGGUUAAUAUUCCUGUACUUGGUGUUACUGCGAAGGGGGGACGGAGAAGGCUAUGUUGGCCGGGCGACGGUUGUCCCGGUUUAAGCGUGUAGGCUGGUUUUCCAGGCAAAUCCGGAAAACCAAGGCUGAGGCGUGAUGACGAGGCACUACGGUGCUGAAGCGACAAAUGCCCUGCUUCCAGGAAAAGCCUCUAAGCAUCAGGUAACAUCAAAUCGUACCCCAAACCGACACAGGUGGUCAGGUAGAGAAUACCAAGGCGCUUGAGAGAACUCGGGUGAAGGAACUAGGCAAAAUGGUGCCGUAACUUCGGGAGAAGGCACGCUGAUAUGUAGGUGAAGCGACUUGCUCGUGGAGCUGAAAUCAGUCGAAGAUACCAGCUGGCUGCAACUGUUUAUUAAAAACACAGCACUGUGCAAACACGAAAGUGGACGUAUACGGUGUGACGCCUGCCCGGUGCCGGAAGGUUAAUUGAUGGGGUUAGCGGCAACGCGAAGCUCUUGAUCGAAGCCCCGGUAAACGGCGGCCGUAACUAUAACGGUCCUAAGGUAGCGAAAUUCCUUGUCGGGUAAGUUCCGACCUGCACGAAUGGCGUAAUGAUGGCCAGGCUGUCUCCACCCGAGACUCAGUGAAAUUGAACUCGCUGUGAAGAUGCAGUGUACCCGCGGCAAGACGGAAAGACCCCGUGAACCUUUACUAUAGCUUGACACUGAACAUUGAGCCUUGAUGUGUAGGAUAGGUGGGAGGCUUUGAAGUGUGGACGCCAGUCUGCAUGGAGCCGACCUUGAAAUACCACCCUUUAAUGUUUGAUGUUCUAACGUUGGCCCGUAAUCCGGGUUGCGGACAGUGUCUGGUGGGUAGUUUGACUGGGGCGGUCUCCUCCUAAAGAGUAACGGAGGAGCACGAAGGUUGGCUAAUCCUGGUCGGACAUCAGGAGGUUAGUGCAAUGGCAUAAGCCAGCUUGACUGCGAGCGUGACGGCGCGAGCAGGUGCGAAAGCAGGUCAUAGUGAUCCGGUGGUUCUGAAUGGAAGGGCCAUCGCUCAACGGAUAAAAGGUACUCCGGGGAUAACAGGCUGAUACCGCCCAAGAGUUCAUAUCGACGGCGGUGUUUGGCA